GAUGAACGCUGGCGGCGUGCCUAACACAUGCAAGUCGAGCGGAAAGGCGCUGCGCUUGCUCGUCUCACGAUAGGCGAACGGGGGAGUAACACGCGAGUAACCUCUCCCUGAAUGAGUGGUAACACCAGGAGAAUGGGGAUAAAACCGGGUAGAAGCUCCUGCAGCACGGGGGGGGAUGGAGAAAUCCGGCGGUGGGGGCUGGACUCGCGGGUUACGGGCUGGAUGGUGGGGUAGGGGAUUACCAAGGCUUUGACGGGUAGCCGGCAUGAGAGGGUGACCGGCCUCAUUGCUCCUGCGAUACGCCCCAGAAUCCUACGGGCGGCAGCGGUGGAGAGUCUUGCACAAUGGGCGGAAGCCUGUUGCAGCAGCGCCGCGUGCGGGAUGACGUCCUUCGAGUUGUAAACCGCUUUCGCCUGAGCCGAGGACUGAGUGACGGUACCGGGUAAGGAAGCACCGGCUAACUACGUG
rnacentral:rRNA from 1 species